ACUGGAAUCGGGUUGUUCGUCCGUCUGUAGACGCAAUGGUUUCCGGGCUCUAAAGCAUUAUCCUUUCCACCUACCGUCACCAUAUCAUAUAUAUGGACUAGCCAUGGGAUGAAGAUGUUCCCUAUCGAUUUUGGGGUCAAAAGGUCAAAGGUCACGCGCACUGGACAUCAAAGUAGCAAUAUGGUUUCCAUUUAAAUUCUUUAACGGCUUUUUUCAUCGCAUGGAGAUGCUGUGUUCCUAGAUACCUUUUGGAUCAUAAUAUUGAAGUUUUACCUAUUUCCAACACCCUUUAGGAGAUUGGGUAAAGCGAGGGGUAUUCUUAGUGAGCAUUGCUCACAGUACCUCUUGUUUUAACAGGUUGUUUUUUUUACAAUAACUAUCGGAAAAGACUAACAAAAUUGAUGUUCCUAUCAUGCAUAAAUCUAAAUAAAUCAUUGAUUUUGCAAAAUCUGAUGACAUCAUAGGAGGGUGGAAUUACUUUAAGUUAUGUUUAGUGCUGUGUGUAUAUAAACAUGCACUCAUAUAAUUAUAUCUUCCCUCUUCCAGGGGGAGACAUAUUGUAUUUGUACUUUCUGUCCGUCCUUCCUUCUGUCACAAAAUCUUGUGAACGCUUCUCCACCUAUAUGGCUUAUCAGAUAGACUUGAAACUUUGUACAAUGCUUCAUUGUCAUUUGCAGAUGUGAAUAUUGUUGGGACGGGAGGAUCCAAUUGUUUUCCUAAGAGUUAUAGUGGAUCUAAGAGGGGUGGAAGAUGUAAAAUAGCUUAUGAACUCUUCUCCUCCCAUAUGGCUUAUUGGAUAGACUUGAAACUUUGUACAAUGCUUAAUUGUCAUUUGUAGAUGUGCAUAUUGUCGGAAUGGGAGGAUCCAAAGUUUUUCCUAAAAGAUAUAGUGGAUCUAAAAGGGGUGGAGGAUGUUAAAAUACCUUGUGAACACUUCUCCUAUAUGGCUUAUCUGAUAGACUUGAGAAUUUGUACAAUGCUUCAAUGCCAUUUGUAGAUGUGCAAGUUGUAGGGACAGGAGGAUCCAAUUGCUAUCCUUAAAGUUAAAGUGGAUCUGAGGGGUGUAGGGUAUAAAAUAGUGUGUGAACGCUUCUCCUCCUAUAUGGCUUAUCAGAGUUCAUGUCUAUCUUCCUGCCCAUGCUUUCUCCUCCAUACUAUUCAAUACAUUAAGGGGGAUGUUUCCUAUAUUUUACGAAUUAAUUGGUUGAUUGACAACAAACUUGGUACAGUUGUACAGCAUAUAUAAGGAGUAGAUGACCCCUAUUGAUUCUUAGGUCACAUGGUCAGUCCACUCUUGACAUAGGAAGGUAUUGUCUGCUCAAUAUUUUGAAUUGGUGUAACUACUAUCAAUUAAAUGAGGCACGGGUAUAACCCUUUCAAUUUUGCAACUUGGGGGGCAUAUGUGUUUUAGAAACAUCUCUUGUGUUGAAUUAUAUGAAUUACAGUUUUUAGUGUGCUCAGUUUAGAGAAUAGCAUAAAAGUAUUUGAUAAUUAAAUAUCUUGCAGAUUGGCAGUUUACUCCAUGCACCGACAGGAAUGAUAAACUGUGAUAUUCGUAAAUGGAACUGGGACACGUUCUAAAUAUACUCAGGGACAGAAUGAUGUGCAGCAAGGCUCGUCAUGGAUUUUACCAAAUACAGAACACUGCAAGGCUUGCAAAAUGAAGACCUCAGUAAAAAAAAUUCUAAAUUAUCCACUAAUGGCAGCUCACUACCUGCCCCUUGUGAUGUUAAAAGAGGCCGUUGUUCUCAUUUGUUCCAAAACAGGAAUGGCAUAUGAGGAGGCCAACAGAAGAUGCACCUCCACUGACCUCCACGGAGUGUGCACUCACAAAACGAAUAAAUUAUUAUUUCUUU